rnacentral:rRNA from 1 species
UACGUAGGGAGCAAGCGUUGUCCGGAAUCAUUGGGCGUAAAGCGCGCGUAGGUGGCCCAGUAAGUCCGUUCUGAAAGUCACAGGCUCAACCUGUGAAAGCGGAUGGAUACUGCUGGGCUAGAGUCCGGAAGAGGCGAGUGGAAUUCCUGGUGUAGCGGUGGAAUGCGCAGAUAUCAGGAGGAACACCAACGGCGAAGGCAGCUCGCUGGGACGUGACUGACGCUGAGACGCGAAAGCGUGGGGAGCAAACAGG